UACAGAGGUCUCAAGCGUUGUUCGGAUUCAUUGGGCGUAAAGGGUGCGUAGGCGGCGCGGUAAGUCGGGGUGUGAAAUCUUGGAGCUUAACUCCGAAACUGCAUUCGAUACUGCCGUGCUUGAGGACUGGAGAGGAGACUGGAAUUUACGGUGUAGCGGUGAAAUGCGUAGAUAUCGUAAGGAAGACCAGUGGCGAAGGCGGGUCUCUGGACAGUUCCUGACGCUGAGGCACGAAGGCCAGGGGAGCAAACGGGG
rnacentral:rRNA from 1 species